rnacentral:rRNA from 1 species
AUACGUAGGUCCCGAGCGUUGUCCGGAUUUAUUGGGCGUAAAGCGAGCGCAGGUGGUUAUUAAGUCUGGUGUAAAAGGCAGUGGCUCAACCAUUGUAUGCAUUGGAAACUGGUAGACUUGAGUGCAGGAGAGGAGAGUGGAAUUCCAUGUGUAGCGGUGAAAUGCGUAGAUAUAUGGAGGAACACCGGUGGCGAAAGCGGCUCUCUGGCCUGUAACCGACACUGAGGCUCGAAAGCGUGGGGAGC